CAGCAGCCGCGGUAAUACGUAGGUGGCAAGCGUUGUCCGGAAUUAUUGGGCGUAAAGGGCUCGCAGGCGGUUUCUUAAGUCUGAUGUGAAAGCCCCCGGCUCAACCGGGGAGGGUCAUUGGAAACUGGGAAACUUGAGUGCAGAAGAGGAGAGUGGAAUUCCACGUGUAGCGGUGAAAUGCGUAGAGAUGUGGAGGAACACCAGUGGCGAAGGCGACUCUCUGGUCUGUAACUGACGCUGAGGAGCGAAAGCGUGGGGAGCGAACAGGAUUAGAUACCCCAGUAGUCCCUGUCCUUAUACA
rnacentral:rRNA from 1 species